UUCGACCUCAAAUCAGGU
rnacentral:rRNA from 2 species